GAUUUGAUCUUAUGCAUGCUUAGAUUGAAUUAGAUUUAAUCUGAAAAUUUUUAAAUUCUGCUGCAUACUCAUUUUGAAAAAUUUUUGCAUGCAUGUAACCAUGAAACUACAAUAUCUACACGAGCUAUGCCAUGGAGAGAGAUAUGUCAAAGAGUGGAGGCAUUGGGCUUUAUUUAAAGAUGUUAGGAGGGAGGAGGAUUUUGUAUUUUUUUCAUUUGGGACUAAUGAUGUGAGAGACCUUGGGAGAAUGGAUGGAUG
rnacentral:lncRNA from 1 species